AAUCAACGCUGGCGGCGUGCCUCAGACAUGCAAGUCGAACGCGAAAGUUCCCUUCGGGGAAUGAUUAGAGUGGCGUCCGGGUGAGUAACACGUGGGUAAUCUACCUUCGGGUGGGGAAUAACAGUCGGAAACGACUGCUAAUACCGCAUAAUGCAGCGGCACCUAAUGGUGACAGUUGUUAAAGCGGGGGAUCGCAAGACCUCGCGCCUGAAGAGGAGCCCGCGGCGGAUUAGCUAGUUGGUAGGGUAACGGCCUACCAAGGCUUCGAUCCGUAGCCGGCCUGAGAGGGCGGUCGGGCCACACUGGCACUGACAUACGGGCCAGACUCCUACGGGAGGCAGCAGUCGGGAAUUUUGGGCAAUGGGCGAAAGCCUGACCCAGCAACGCCGCGUGAAGGAUGAAGCUUUUCGGAGUGUAAACUUCACAAGAACGGAAGAAUAAGUGGGGAGUAAUACCCCCCAUGAUGACGGUACCUAUUUGUAAGCUCCGGCUAACGUCCGUGCCAGCAGCCGCCGCAGU
rnacentral:rRNA from 1 species